rnacentral:rRNA from 1 species
UACGUAGGGGGCAAGCGUUGUCCGGAGUUACUGGGCGUAAAGCGCACGCAGGCGGUCUCUUAAGUUUGGAGUGACAGUUGGUGGCUUAACUGCCAAAGUGCUUCGAAAACUGAGAGACUUGAGGGCUUCAGAGGGACACGGAAUUCCGGGUGGAGUGGUGAAAUGCGUAGAGAUCGGAAAGAACACCAACGGCGAAAGCACUCUGCUGGGCCGACACUGACACUGAGAGACGAAAGCUAGGGGAGCGAAUGGG